rnacentral:rRNA from 1 species
UACGUAGGGUGCGAGCGUUGUCCGGAAUUAUUGGGCGUAAAGGGCUCGUAGGCGGUUUGUCGCGUCGGGAGUGAAAUCCACUGGCUUAACUGGUGGCUUGCUUUCGAUACGGGCAGACUGGAGGUAUGCAGGGGAGAACGGAAUUCCUGGUGUAGCGGUGAAAUUCGUAGAUAUUGGGAAGAACACCGAUGGCGAAGGCAGCCAUCUGGACCGACACUGACGCUGAGGCGCGAAAGCGUGGGGAGCAAACAGG